rnacentral:rRNA from 1 species
GAUGAACGCUGGCGGCGUGCCUAAUACAUGCAAGUCGAGCGAACAGAUCAGGAGCUUGCUCCUUUGACGUUAGCGGCGGACGGGUGAGUAACACGUGGGUAACCUACCUCUAAGACUGGGAUAACUUCGGGAAACCGGAGCUAAUACCGGGUAAUAUUUCGAACCGGAUGGUUCGAUAGUGAAAGAGGGUUUUGCUAUCACUUAUAGAUGGACCCGCGCCGUAUGAGCGAGUUGGUAAGGUAACGGCUUAGCAAGGCGGUGAUACGUAGCCGACCUGAGAGGGGGAUGGGCGCCUCUGGAAGUGAGACGCGACACUGGGACCUAGGGGAGGCAGCGGUAGCGACGCUAGGGAGAUGUGGGGAAGAUUGACGGAGCAGCGCCGGGCUGAUGCUGAAGGUCUGCGUAGCGGAAAACUGUGUUAUUAGGGUAGACUCUACGUGUAAGUGACUGUGCACGUCGUGACGGUACCUAAUCAGAAAGCAACGGCUAACUACGUG